CUCAUUUCAAAAAUGCUACCUUUAUCAGUGAACGGCAGAUGCAGACAAGUGUGGGUGCCUGAUAACACGGGUACAAGAUGGAUACAAAUGUUAUUAGCAAUCUUGUGCAUUAGGAGUGUGUGCUGCUGCAGCUGAGUUGACACCACUAGGCAGCCUAAUGUGAGCUGGGCUGACAUUAACACCCGAAUCCAGCUGGUUGCAGAUUUCCAUCCUGCUCACCGUCAGCCUGGAAUGCAAGACUCCUGGAUGUGCUGACGGUCCCUCAUCCAGCUGAGCUACUGGCCUAUGGCAGAUGCAAUCCCUUUUCAAGAGAGCAAAGACCCUAUGCUACAGGUCAUGGUCCUGGUGCUGGCAGAAGGCACGCCGAACCCAUCAGUGAGACCCAAUCUCUUCUUUAUUAGCCGGAAAACACUUGCAAGGUUGAAGGGUGAAGUCCAUGCAUAUUUUAUAAAACAGAAACUGGAGCGGCUGCCCUCCUGCAUCUUGUCUGCCUGUGUUUGGGGGAAAUUUUCACAAGUGACCAAAAUGGGCCACUGCUUGAACUUUCUCUGCAUGCCCUCAUCCUGGCUGAGCAGAAAACAUCAGAGGAAAUAUUGAGAAGAUACUGGGGACACUCUUGCAGAAGUACAAAAUCAAAUCCCUAGAAAAAAAAGGGACUCCAUUUCUCACUAAAGGGAUUACCCAAAAGGCCUGAGAAACCAUGAGAAGUUGGUGG
rnacentral:lncRNA from 12 species